rnacentral:rRNA from 1 species
AGUGAACGCUGGCGGUAGGCCUAACACAUGCAAGUCGAACGGCAGCACAGUAAGAGCUUGCUCUUACGGGUGGCGAGUGGCGGACGGGUGAGGAAUACAUCGGAAUCUACUUUUUCGUGGGGGAUAACGUAGGGAAACUUACGCUAAUACCGCAUACGACCUACGGGUGAAAGCAGGGGAUCUUCGGACCUUGCGCGAUUGAAUGAGCCGAUGUCGGAUUAGCUAGUUGGCGGGGUAAAGGCCCACCAAGGCGACGAUCCGUAGCUGGUCUGAGAGGAUGAUCAGCCACACUGGAACGGAGACACGGUCCAGACUCCUACGGGAGGCAGCAGUGGGGAAUAUUGGACAAUGGGCGCAAGCCUGAUCCAGCCAUACCGCGUGGGUGAAGAAGGCCUUCGGGUUGUAAAGCCCUUUUGUUGGGAAAGAAAAGCAGCAGGUUAAUACCCCGCUGUUUUGACGGCACCCAAAGAAUAAGCACCGGCUAACUUCGUG